UACGAAGGGGGGCUAGCGUUGCUCGGAAUCACUGGGCGUAAAGGGCGCGUAGGCGGCCAGAUUAGUCAGGCGUGAAAGCCCUGGGCUCAACCUGGGGACUGCGCUUGAGACGGUAUGGCUUGAGGGUGGAAGAGGCUCGCGGAAUUCCCAGUGUAGAGGUGAAAUUCGUAGAUAUUGGGAAGAACACCGGUGGCGAAGGCGGCGAGCUGGUCCAUCACUGACGCUGAGGCGCGACAGCGUGGGGAGCAGAACGA
rnacentral:rRNA from 1 species